rnacentral:rRNA from 1 species
GUGAGGAAUAUUGGUCAAUGGGCGCAAGCCUGAACCAGCCAUGCCGCGUGCAGGAAGACGGUCCUAUGGAUUGUAAACUGCUUUUAUUUGGGAAUAAACUCCGGUACGUGUACCGGCCUGAAGGUACCAAAUGAAUAAGCACCGGCUAACUCCGUGCCAGCAGCCGCGGUAAUACGGAGGGUGCAAGCGUUAUCCGGAAUCAUUGGGUUUAAAGGGUCCGCAGGCGGUCUUAUAAGUCAGUGGUGAAAGCCUACAGCUCAACUGUAGAACUGCCAUUGAUACUGUAGGACUUGAAUUCGAUCGAAGUGGGCGGAAUGUGACAUGUAGCGGUGAAAUGCUUAGAUAUGUCACAGAACACCGAUAGCGAAGGCAGCUCACUAGGUCUGGAUUGACGCUCAGGGACGAAAGCGUGGGGAGCAAACAGGAUUAGAAACCCCAGUAGUCC